GCUUCGGUAGGCUCAGCGGUAGAGCUUGUGGGACGGCACGGAUUCCAAUGAGCGGACCACUAACCGGUCAUGGUUUCCUUUUCUCAAUUGCCCGUCAACGAUAUGUGCCGUCCCGUGUGUCGCUGGUUCGACUCCAGCUCGAAGCG
rnacentral:tRNA from 1 species